GAGAUGUGCUGUUGUACACAGCUUCUGUGUGGAUGCUGGAGACAAGCUCAGGUACACUUCAUCCACUGAGCCUAGGUCCUCAUCUUGGCCUUCCUGCAUCUUCAUGCCUGUAGUACCUACCCGCCUAUACCCGUGAACCAGGUAAUCUCAGAGGAAGGUCCUGCUGUAAGCUGGAGGCCAAGAACACAGAGACAAAACAUGCUGUCAGAGACUUACCUAUACGUCUCCCUCCCUCCAAUGCCAGAGAACGAAGCUAGGCUUGUCACAUGCCAAGAAAAUGCUCUACCACUAAACUACAGCUCAGCCCUGGUUUGCCAUGUUCUGAACUUCCUCCUGUUACAACUACUUCAGUACACAGGACUUGCCACAACUUGCUUAUACAGGAACGGAUGAACAGCUACCAGGCCUGAGCAUCCAUUUGCUAGUGUCUAAUGAAGCUCUGCUCCCUGUUCAUCAUACUUCUGUGCUACAGACACAGCCAAGAGUAGAGCGAACAUCUGUUUACUACCUGUGCGGAAUGCGAGGCUGGCAUGUAAGAAAAUGAAAGUACAAGGAGUUGAAGUGGCUUGCUCAAGGCAGGAGUAACGUUAAAUCCAUACAGAAACUAUCCCCCUAGUCACCUGAUCUCCACUGCAAAGGGACUCAGUCGCUUCUGUAGCAAACUCAGACAAUUUUGAGUUUGAGACUAAAUUACCGCCCACCUUUCUAGACUUGUUCUGAAGAACUGAUGAAUUAUAAAAUCUAGUUUCCUUAUCCAUUUACAUGGUAUAGAUAACAUUAAUUUAGGACUCCUUUUUAAAAAUUAUUUUUUAAUUAUGUGUAUAUCUGUGUGCAGGCUAGUCUUAUGUCAAACACAAUAGACACACAAAAUUUUUGGCACACAAAAUAGAGUCAUCUGAGAAGAAGAACCUCAACUGAGAAAAUGCCUCCAAAAGAUUGUCUUAACUGGUGAUUCAUCAGUGGGGGAAGGUCCAGCACAUUGUGGGUGGUGCCAUCCCUGGGCUGUA